rnacentral:rRNA from 1 species
UGCCAGCAGCCGCGGUAAUACAUAGGGACCAAGCGUUGUCCGGAUUUAUUGGGCGUAAAGAGCUCGUAGGCGGUUCCGUAAGUCGGAUGUGAAAACUCAGAGCUCAACCCUGAGACGCCAUCUGAUACUGCGGUGACUAGAGUCCGGUAGGGGAGCAUGGAAUUCCUGGUGUAGCGGUGGGAUGCGCAGAUAUCAGGAGGAACACCAGUGGCGAAGGCGGUGCUCUGGGCCGGUACUGACGCUGAGGAGCGAAAGCAUGGGGAGCAAACAGGAUUAGAUA